rnacentral:lncRNA from 1 species
UAUACAGUGGAGUCCCCGGUGUCCGCGCGGCCGAUGAUACCGCCCAUUAGCUGAUUUCGUUAUAUCAACACCGUAACGCAAAUAAAAUUAUUCUUGUAAUUGUUUUAGCAUUCCGAAGGGAUAAAAAAAGAAUAAAAUUGAUAAGUUCCAGAUUGAAAUAAUAACUGCAAUCCCGUGAUUUACAAUAUUUGGCCAAUGUCCAUAAAAAAAAAUACAGCAUCAGAUAAAAUUUGUUAUACUUUAGUCAAAUUUUUAUCAGAUUGAAAUAAUUUUUGCUCUGCAUCCUUGGCAGUGUGCUUGGUUUGAAUUUAGAUACCUUUCGUAGCAGCAAAUCUUUCCUAUAUUCAAAAUUAGCUAUUUUUGGAAGGCAUGCGCGAAAUCACCGGACAUUGGAGGAACUCUCAGAACAGGGGUUUCCCCAAUUUUGGAAACACGUUACACAAAAUCUUGAGGGUGAAACCCUACAAACUGAUAUGUUUAUGAAAUAAAAGUAUGUUAUGAAUGUAUUCACACAAUAUCAUGA